rnacentral:rRNA from 1 species
UACGUAGGGUGCGAGCGUUAAUCGGAAUUACUGGGCGUAAAGCGUGCGCAGGCGGUUUUGUAAGCCAGAUGUGAAAUCCCCGGGCUUAACCUGGGAAUGGCAUUUGGGACUGCAAGGCUGGAGUGUGGCAGAGGAGACUGGAAUUCCUGGUGUAGCAGUGAAAUGCGUAGAUAUCAGGAGGAAUACCGAUGGCGAAGGCAGGUCUCUGGACUGACACUGACGCUCAUGCACGAAAGCGUGGGGAGCAAACAGG